CACACCCUCCAGAGUGAAAUGACACAAUUGUCAAAAGUCAACAUCUUGUCUGGGGGUUGUCGUGCUAGUCUGACACAGCGUAGCAUCUGUAAACUCUCCUCAGUCUUCUGCUCUGUCCCUAAGGGGACAAGACGCCACAGUGGCCAAGAUCCUAAUGGUGGUGUAUAGAGGGGAUUUUUUGGGGACCAGGUCACCCCACCAAAAAUAGGAAUGACAGAUAAAGGACACCCAACCAUUCCCGGCCUGCGCUGGCACUCCUCCAUCACCACCACCAGAGCAUGGGCUGUUUCUGGGGGACUCAUUAAUGCAUCUGUGGGGGUUUGGUGGGACUGCAGAGUGUGCAAACUGAAUAUUCAGGAAAUUACACAGAUGGAGAUCAAACAAUGGACCAUCAUCAAUCUCUGUCACCAACCACAGGUAUGGGAGGGGAGGUCAGGGACUUUAUCCUGUUGAGGGUAGCAGAAGGGCAGAGUGAGUGGAGUGAGUGAGUGAGUGAGUGAGUGAGUGAGUGAGUGAGUGUGUAUGUAAACCUAACCUUAACCAUUGUAAUUAACCCUUCCCCUGACCCUAUCCUUAGCCCUUUAAUCUAACUCCUAACAUAACCCUAACCUUAUUAACCCCUAAAUGUAACCCUAGCCUAGCUAACAUUAGCAUUAGCCACCUAGCCACCAAGCUAAAUUUAGCCACAACAAAUUGGAAUUUGUAACAUAUCAUACGUUUUGCUAAUUCGUAACAUAUUGUACAUUUUGCAAAUCUAAGUCCAGUUUCCUGAUAACGAUGAAACUUAAACUUGUGUGUGUUUGAACAAUGUAUCAGUGCACUUGUUACGAAUUGAAACUGAACGGAUUUAUAUAAAAAAAAAAAAAAUGUAACCUUUAUUUAACCAGGUAGGCUAGUUGAGAACAAGUUCUCAUUUGCAACUGCGACCCUGGCCAAGAUAAAGCAAAGCAGUGUGACACAGACAAAAAACACAGAGUUACGAAUAUGUAGUGAGGGCCAGCCGACUAGAGCAUACAGGUCGUAGUGGUGGGUGGUAUAAGAUGAUUUGGUAACAAAACGGAUGGCACUGUGAUAGACUGCAUCCAGUUUGCUGAGUAGAGUGUUGGAAACUAUUUUGUAGAUGACAUCACCGAAGUCGAGGAUCGGUAGGAUAGUCAGUUUUACGAGGGUAAGUUUGGCGGUGUGAGUGAAGGAUUCUUUGUUUUCCAAAUAGAAAGCCGAUUCUAGAUUUGAUUUUGGAUUGGAGAUGUUUAAUAUGAGUCUGGAAGGAGAGUUUACAGUCUAGCCAGACACCUAGGUAUUUAUAGUUGUCCACAUAUUCUAGGUCGGAACCGUCCGGGGUGGUGAUGCUAGUCGGGCGGGCGGGUGUGGGCAGCGAACGGUUGAAAAGCAAGCGUUUGGUUUUACUAGAGUUUAAGAGCAGUUGGAGGCCACGGAAGGAGUGUUGUAUGGCAUUGAAGCUCGUUUGGAGGUUAGUUAGCACAGUGUCCAAGGAAGGGCCAGAAGUAUACAGAAUGGUGUCGUCUGCGUAGAGGUGGAUCAGGGAAUCGGCCGCAACAAGAGCGACAUCAUUGCUUUAAACUGUGUCUUUACAGGAGCAGUCUCGUGCUGAAAAUUAUUCCAGAAUAUUGGCGAAAGAGCUCGCUGUAGCUCUUAAAUCAUUUAGCGUCUGCUAAAUGAUUUAUGGCUAUUCAUAUUUUUUACACAAUACAGUUUGACCAUCAAGAAAAGACUGUAGUCCAUUAUGUAGUCUAAGUGUUUGUAUUAUGUUAGCCAUGUGUUAUGUAUUCUAAGUGUUUGUAUUAUGUUAGCCAUGUGUUCUGCAUUCUAAGUGUUUGUAUUAUGUUAGCCAUGUGUUCUGUAUUCUAAGUGUUUGUAUUAUGUUGGCCAUGUGUUCUGUAUUCUACGUGUUUGUAUUAUGUUGGCCAUGUGUUCUGUAUUCUAAGUGUUUGUAUUAUGUUGGCCAUGUGUUCUGUAUUCUAAGUGUUUGUAUUAUAUUGGCCAUGUGUUCUAUAUUCUAAGUGUUUGUAUUAUGUUAGCCAUGUGUUCUGUAUUCUAAGUGUUUGUAUUAUGUUGGCCAUGUGUUCUGUAUUCUAAGUGUU
rnacentral:lncRNA from 13 species